GCUCGCCCUCCUGCUGGGGCUGCCUGUGCCAGGCUCUCAGAAGACAUAAUGUGCUUCCUAGGGCUUUUUUUUUUUUUUUUUUUUUUUUUUUUUUUUAAGGCAGGCGGUGGAACCACUGAGCUAAAUUCCCGGCCCAAAGAGUCUUGAUUUUAUUCUACAGGUAAAGAGCCAAAUAAACUUUUAUGCAAAGGAGUGACAUGAAUCAACCUAUAUCUUGUAGCACAAUGAGAAGAGGGAGACAAGGGGAUGACUGAAGAGGCACAUACAACACUGUGAGCAGAAGGGUGAGGGUUACUCUCAGGUAGUGGCAAAGAAAAGAGGAUGACAAGUGAUGCCUCCCAGGGCUGCCCUAUGAAAAGUAGAGCAUCCAUAAUCUGAGGCCUGAGAAACAGACAAGCCACUCCUAAGCAAGCUUUCUCACUUUGGACAAGGAGGAGGAAGAGCAGGUCUACACGGUUAAGGGAGGGGAUAAGAUGUAUUUGUGGCACUGACUGUCUUAGGUGCCUGCUGGACCUGCACAUGGAAUGCAAGCUGUAUGAUUAUUUUGAAACUCCAGGCCCUCUUCCCUUGGACUCGCGACUUGGAUUUCUGGACUCAGCGCAUGAAGAAACUAGAAAAGCACCAGACUCUAUGGAGGACAGUUUGGGUUCCCAUAGAGAAGGCAUCGACACAGGGACAGUGAAGAAACCUUUUAGAGACUGAGUGCUGCAACCCCAAAUCCAGUUAUUUAUCACAAAGCGCAACACUCCACAGGUAAACCUGAAUACUGAGCUUUUAGUAAAGAAAAUAGAACUCAUAGUAC
rnacentral:lncRNA from 1 species